rnacentral:lncRNA from 1 species
CAAAUUUUGGCCAACCAUGAUUGUCCAGCAGGCUGUGAGGCAACCAGCCAGAGGGUGCCAUCCCACAGGGCUACCUGGUACUGCAUGGGGAGUGGACAAAUUGUAGGGAUCCUGUAUUAAGUCAGUUUCAGUUCAAGGCAUAUUGGAAGAGUCAGUUGGUCAGCAGUGGCCAAAGCAGAGGCAGCAGAUGCAGAGAGGGUCCCUGCAGUGACUGAGUACUUCAAGAGGAAACAGUAGCCCCUGUUGCUGAGGAGUGACAAGAUCAAAUAGGCACAUGAACUGUUUAUAGCCUGAAUAUGGCUUUAGCUUCUGAAUACCAUUCUGGGCAUCAUAAAGCCUGGCAAUGUGGCCAGCAUGGUGGACUUCGUGAUCGAGAGCAGAAGGACCUAUCGAUAUGCUGAAAGUGCCUCUGAAUAGCCCCCCUGCUUGCGGAGAGGAAAUAAUCAAGCUCGGAACUGUGAUUGCAC